AUUGAACGCUGGCGGCAGGCCUAACACAUGCAAGUCGAACGAGUGGCGGACGUGAGAGUAAUGUCUGGGAAACUGCCUGCUGGAGGGGAAUAACUACUGGAAACGGUAGCUACUCCCGCAUACCAUCGGAUGUGCCCAGAUGGGAUUAGCUAGGAGGUGGUGUAAAGGCUCACCUAGGCGACGAUCCGUAGCUGGUCUGAGAGGAUGACCAGCCACACUGGAACUGAGACACGGUCCAGACUCCUGAGGGAGGCAGCAGAGGGGAAUAUUGCACAAUGGGCGCAAGCCUGAGGCAGCCAUGCCGCGUGUAUGAAGAAGGCCUUCGGGUUGUAAAGUACGUUCAGCGGGGAGGCGUUACCCGCAGAAGAAGCACCGGCUAACUCCGUGCCAGCAGCCGCGGUAAUAC
rnacentral:rRNA from 1 species